rnacentral:lncRNA from 1 species
CUGGACUCCACGUCACUUCCAUUCACUGUGGUGUGUGGAGCGUGGAGGAGACGCGUGUCGCUAAAUACAUUCUUUUCCAAGGACACGGGCUUAUGACUUUUCUAUAGGCAUCAGUUGUCUUUUGGAAUGCUUUUAAACAGAUGUAAUGCCAUCUUUUUAAUGAUUAAUAAAAAGAUAAUCUGAAUAUGAGACGUAAUGUGCUAUUGGAUGGGAAAA